rnacentral:lncRNA from 1 species
AUGUAAGCACUACCAACAACACCAAAAAUGAUGAGCUAGCAUUGCCUCAAGGACCAAUUACAAGGCUGAGAUCCAAGAGGUUGAAGGAAGCACUUCAAGGAUUCAUGAAGGAAUAUGUUGAAGCUUUGCAAGUUCAUUUUGAAGUUGAAGAACAAUCUGGCCAUUCCAAGUCAAUUAGGCCAAAUGUGUCCUUAUUGACAAUUCAAAUUCUGUAUUUAUAGUGGGUAGUCAUUUAGUAGUUGGUAGUUAACCAGUAGUGGGUAGUUAUUUGGUAGUGGGUAGUUAAACAGUAGUGGGUGGUUACCUAGUAGUGGAUAGUGGCAUAGAUCAUGGGUCCAUGCAUAGUUGUGGGUAGUGGCAAAGAUCAUGGGUCCAUGUAUAGUAGUGGGAGGUGGCAAAGAUCAUGGGUCUUAAUUUAGGCUAUAUAAAGCAUCCAUUUUUCUAUUGUAGACACGGAUUAUCAAUUAUUCAAUACAAUUGCUUUAUGCGAUUCUUCUUUGAGAGCUUAAGAGAGAUCUUGGUUCUUGACAUUGCAUCACGAAUAAGGUUUGAUACUAACUUGUAUGUUUCUUAUUCUUGCUGCUCUUGAAAUCAAUCCAUUAUAAGUGUUCUUAAUUGCAUGUUAAUUAAGGGUGCUUUAGAUUGGGGAAUUAUUUUCUGAAUUAAGUUCUUUUUACUAGGGUAUGUGUCGUUUCAGUCUCUAAUAGGCUGGGGUUCCGCAUCAU